GACAGAGUUCUCUAAACCUACUUCAGUUGUAGCAAGUUCCUGAUUCAUCCACUCAGAAGCCCAAUGAGCACUGGUUGACUCAAUCAAGUGUUAACCCUAGGAGAACAAGCAAAUAAGUAGGAACUGGGUCAUACAGGGUAAACACCAGAGAUGAUAAGGAUAUAUAUAUAUAUAUAUAUAUAUAUAUAUAUAUAUAUAUGUAUAUGUAUAUAUAUAUACAUAUUAAUUUUUGUUAUUGGUUAGAGACAAUUUUGGAAAGCAAGAGAAUCAUCUUUUUUUAAAAAAGAGAGAAGAAGAAGAAGAAAAGAUAGUAUUAACGUGAGUUCUAGAGAAGGUUAGUGGGUUGCGGUUCAAAAUUCCGUGUUUGUGCCCCCUUUUAUAUGUUUCUACUGUUGAUGCCAUAUUAUUAUGAAAUGAUUUGUUGCAUAGUGUCCUUAUUUGUAUGAACAUUUGUAUGCACGUUAUAUUGUAAUAGCUUUGCCUGUAUUUAUUGCAAGACCACCAGCUCCUGGAGGCUGAGAUACAGAGUAAUCAAAUGGGGUGUUCGUGGUGACUUGGAUACACCAAUUAGAAAUUAAAUAAGCAUAUAUAUAUAUAAACAUAGCCGGUUACAUAUAUAUUUAUAAUGUGUCUUUUUAUUAACCAUUUGUACAAGAAAUGUCACUUCCCACGCAGUUACUUUACCCUUCACUUGCAGUGACCUUUAAGGCAGCACUGUUUAGCACUUUGAUAUGAAAUUUUUGCUUAUGUUUUGCUAAAUUCUAAUAAUGUUUGAAGAUUUUAAGGUCUAAAAGUCUUUAUAUUAUAUACUCUGUAUCAAGUCAAGAUCCCUUUGGCCGUUUUGCUAAGACUCAAAAACUUUGAAUGUCAAACUGAUGUCACAGUAGCUUUUGUUAGCUUUUAAUCAUUUUUGCUUUAGUUUUUUUUUUAAAAAAAAUAACAAACUAUACUGUUUAUAUUGUCAUUAAAUUAUACAAUCAAACAAAUGCCAAAUGAAUUGCCUAAUUGCUGCAAAGUGUAACCCAGAUAACAAAUCAUAUUCUCUCCUCUUUUUGCAACUCAUUCAGAUGUUUGAUCUUGUGUUUUGUUUGUAUAAAGAUUGUAUGAACUAUAUCACCUUCCUAUCAAGGUGACAGGGCUUGAGAUGUUAAGAUUUUUGAACUUCAGACUUGGAAGGGGCCUGGCUCAUCAUCUGGUCAGAUCUAUUAAAAUUCACAAAGGAGAAAAGUGGGGGCCCGUUGCAGGGCAAACAGCUAGCAACAGGAUAAAGGCUCAGACUUAAUUCACCUUCCCUUAGUCUCCCCCACAUCUUACUGCAUCUGUAGGAAAAUAAACUUUUAAACAUAGUCACGCAUACUAACACUUUACCAGCAGACAGCCUUGAAUAAAGUAGUACUUUGGCAUUAAUUUGUUGAGCUUAUAUGCAAACAUAAUAAACAUUAUUAAAUAUCAGGAAAGCUAACAUUUCACACGAGAUCGCUUCAGACCAAAUUCAAUUUGAAUUUGAAUAAAUUAGAAGUACUGAGCGUACGUAACCUUCUUGUGCACCUUGAGUAUUGCAAAGUUGCUCCUUGGUUGUUGGUUUUUUUUGUUGUUUCUUUUCGUCCUGUCUGAAAGGCAAAGCAAAACAGCAGCACGGUGCUCUGGGAAAUGCUGUUCCCCCUUCUGUCCUCACACCCACAGAUUGAAGGGAAAGAACUGUCUAAGCAUCUAUCUGCUGGUUUGAAGAAUGAUGAAGCCGUUUUAGUUAAGGGCCAGACACUAGUGCUGAAAGAAAAGACUAUACAGCCAGUGUUCUUCUGUCUUCCAUAGUUAUCACAACUAUGAGAGCCUCUUAGGUCAUCAUUUUGAAAUGUUGACACCCAAGUGUACCCAGAGUGGAAGGCACACUAGCUCUGCAGAGGACAAGCAUUAAUGCAGGUGAUUCCUCCCGCUGACUGGAGUGCAGUCUCAGUGUGAACCCGCCCUCAGCAGGAAAUGGGAAUCCACUUGCUGUUCCUGGAGAGUGCCUUGCUUUUGUUUCAAAUGGCCGAGUCUCCCAAGCCCUUCUCCUCUAACAGCAUUGCUUUUUAGUAAGUGUGUGUUAACCUGUGGUUUGAAAGAAAUGCUCUUGUACAUUAACAAUGUAAAUUUAAAUGAUUAAAUUAAAUUACAUUUUACCAAUG
rnacentral:lncRNA from 1 species